rnacentral:rRNA from 1 species
CGCGCAAAUUACCCAAUCCUGACACAGGGGAGGUUAGUGACCUAUAUAUAACGAUACAGGGCCCAUUGGUCUUGUAAUUGGUAUGAGUACAAAUGUAAAUACCUUAACGAGGAACAAUUGGAGGGCAAGUCUGGUGCCAGCAGCCGCGGUAAUUCCAGCUCCAAUAGCGUAUAUUAAAGUUGUUGCAGUUAAAAAGCUCGUAGUUGAACUUUGGGCCUGGGCGGGCGGUCUACCUAUGGUUUGUACUGCUGCGGCCGGGUCUUUCCUUCUGGCUACCCCUUCCGGGGGGAACCCAGGACGAUUUACUUUGAGGAAAAUUAGAGUGUUCAAAGCAGGCCUUUGGCUCGGAUAUAUUAGCAUGGAAUAAUAGAAUUAGGACCGUAUGGUUCUAUUUUGGUUGGUUUCUAGGGACCAUCGUAAUGAUUAAUAGGGACGGUCGGGGGCAUCAGUAUUCAGUCGUCAGAGGUGAAAUUCUUGGAUUGACUGAAGACUAACUACUGCGAAAGCAUUUGCCAAGGACGUUUUCAUUAAUCAAGAACGAAAGUUUAGGGGAUCGAAGAUGAUCAGAUACCGUCGUAGUCUUAACCAUAAACUAUGCCGACUAGAGAUCGGGGGGGGCUUUUUGCGCACUCGGCAUCUUACGAGAAAU